rnacentral:rRNA from 1 species
AUACGUAGGUGACAAGCGUUGUCCGGAUUUACUGGGUGUAAAGGGCGCGUAGGCGGACUGUCAAGUCAGUCGUGAAAUACCGGGGCUUAACCCCGGGGCUGCGAUUGAAACUGACAGCCUUGAGUAUCGGAGAGGAAAGCGGAAUUCCUAGUGUAACGGUGAAAUGCGUAGAUAUUAGGAGGAACACCAGUGGCGAAGGCGGCUUUCUGGACGACAACUGACGCUGAGGCGCGAAAGUGUGGGGAGC